GACGAACGCUGGCGGCGUGCCUAAUACAUGCAAGUUGAGCGCUGAAGGUUGGUACUUGUACCGACUGGAUGAGCAGCGCACGGGUGAGUAACGCGUGGGGAAUCUGCCUUUGAGCGGGGGACAACAUUUGGAAACGAAUGCUAAUACCGCAUAAAAACUUUAAACACAAGUUUUAAGUUUGAAAGAUGCAAUUGCAUCACUUAAAGAUGAUCCCGCGUUGUAUUAGCUAGUUGGUGAGGUAAAGGCUCACCAAGGCGAUGAUACAUAGCCGACCUGAGAGGGUGAUCGGCCACAGUGGGACGGAGACACGGCACAAACUCCUACGGGAGGGAGCAGUAGGGAAUCUUCGGCAAUGGACGAAAGACUGACCGAGCAACGCCGCGUGAGUGAAGAAGGUUGUCGGAUCGGAAAACUCGGUUGGUAGAGAAGAACGUUGGUGAGAGUGGAAAGCUCAUCAAGUGACGGUAACUACCCAGAAAGGGACGGCUAACUACGUG
rnacentral:rRNA from 1 species